rnacentral:rRNA from 1 species
CCCUUAGAUGUUCUGGGCCGCACGCGUGCCACACUGAGUGGAUCAGCGGGUCAGGUUGCGCGAAAGCGUUUCCUAAUCUUGAAAUCCGCUCGUGAUGGGGAUUGACGGUUGCAAUUUUCUGUCAUGAACGAGGAAUACCUUGUAAGCGCGAGUCAUCAUCCCGCGCUGAAUACGUCCCUGCCCUUUGUACACACCGCCCGUCGCUCCUACCGAUUGAGUGGUCCGGUGAGGCUUUGGGAUCUGAGCGGAAAGAGCGUUUCGCUCGUUCUGCCCGGAAAACUCAGUCGAACCUUAUCAUUUAGAGGAAGGAGAAGUCGUAACA